GUCUUCCCUCUUUAUCACGUAUCAUAAUCUUUGUAAUGAAACUUUCCUUGGGAUAGUUCUUGAAUAUGUUUUUGAGUAUUUUUCGAAUACUUCUUUGCAUAUUUCUUGAAUAUUUCUUGAAUAUUUCUUGAUUUUUUUUUUUAAUCUUUUUUUUUCACCAACCACUUACCCACUGGUUCCCAAUGGGGAUCACUCCUUUUGUUUUCCUGGCAACUUUGGAAAAAGCAAGAUAUGUGGCUAGGCAGGUUGUCUUCCCUCUUUAUCACAAAUCAUAAUCUUUGUAAUGAAUCAUUCCUUUGAAUAGUUCUUAAAUAUGGUUUUAAAGAUUUUUCGAAGAUUCUUUUGAAUAUUUCUUGAAUAUUUCUUGAAUAUUUCUUGAUUUUUUUUUUUAAUCUUUUUUUUUCACCAACCACUUACCCACUGGUUCCCAAUGGGGAUCACUCCUUUUGUUUUCCUGGCAACUUUGGAAAAAGCAAGAUAUGAGGCUAGGCAGGUUGUCUUCCCUCUUUAUCACGUAUCAUAAUCUUUGUAAUGAAACUUUCCUUUGGAUAGUUCUUGAAUAUGGUUUUAAAGAUUUUUCGAAGAUUCUUUUGAAUAUUUCUUGAUUUUUUUUAAAUCUUUUUUUUUCACCAACCACUAACCCACUGGUUCCCAAUGGGGAUCACUCCUUUUGUUUUCCUGGCAACUUUGUACAAAGCAAGAUAUGUGGCAUACGCAGGUUUUCUUCCCUCUUCAUCACAUAUCAUGAUCUUUGUAAUGAAUCAUUCCUUUGAAUAGUUCUUGAAUAUGUUUUUGAAUAUUUUUCGAAUAUUUUUAAAGAUUUUUCGAAUAUUUUUUAAUAUUUAUUUUAAUAUUUCUUGAAUAUUUCUUGAUUUUUUUUAAAUCUUUUUUUUUCACCAACCACUAACCCACUGGUUCCCAAUGGGGAUCACUCCUUUUGUUUUCCUGGCAACUUUGUAAAAAGCAAGAUAUGUGGCAUACGCAGGUUUUCUUCCCUCUUCAUCCCAUAUCAUGAUCUUUGUAAUGAAUCAUUCCUUUGAAUAGUUCUUGAAUAUGUUUUUAAACAUUUUUCGAAGAUUCUUUUGAAUAUUUUUUGAAUAUUUUUCGAAUAUUUUUUAACAUUUCUUGUAAUAUUUCUUGAUUUUUUUUUUUUUUUUUUUCACCAACCACUAACCCACUGGUUCCCAAUGGGGAUCACUCCUUUUGUUUUCCUGGCAACUUUGUAAAAAGCAAGAUAUGUGGCAUACGCAGG
ensembl:lncRNA